rnacentral:snRNA from 1 species
GGACGUUAGGGUGAUCUGGCUGCUACAUCUGUCACCCCAUCAAUUGCCAGGGUUGAUUCAGCUGAUCUGGCUGGCUAGGUGGGUGUGCCCUUCCUCCCUCACUGCUCUAUGUGUGUCCUCCCAAAGCUGUGCGCUCAGUCGAAGAGGACAACUGUCCCCAAUAGACGAGGUCCAGUCUUCAGUCAAGGGCAUACGAGUAGCUGUACUCCCCUGCUAGACCCUCCCAACCAGCUCUCAAGACUGCUGCCUGCCAAUCUGUAUCCAGAGUUGGAAAAAAGCAAGGAAAAAAAAAAAGACUUGUCCCAGAGUGUUCCUU